rnacentral:rRNA from 1 species
CCCAGACUCCUACGGGAGGCAGCAGUGGGGAAUAUUGCACAAUGGGCGAAAGCCUGAUGCAGCAACGCCGCGUGAAGGAAGACGGUUUUCGGAUUGUAAACUUCUGUUCUUAGUGAAGAAUAAUGACGGUAACUAAGGAGCAAGCCACGGCUAACUACGUGCCAGCAGCCGCGGUAAUACGGAGGGUGCAAGCGUUGUCCGGAAUCAUUGGGCGUAAAGAGUUCGUAGGCGGUAUGUUAAGUCUGGUGUUAAAUGCAGAAGCCCAACUUCUGUUCGGCACUGGAUACUGGCAAACUAGAAUGCGGUAGAGGUAAAGGGAAUUCCUGGUGUAGCGGUGAAAUGCUUAGAUAUCAGGAGGAACAUCGGUGGCGUAAGCGCUUUACUGGGCCGUAAUUGACGCUGAGGAACGAAAGCCAGGGUAGCAAAUGGGAUUAGAUACCCUCGUAC